rnacentral:lncRNA from 1 species
CCCCCAACAACAAGGCUGUCCGUCUCUCAGUGCCAAUUCCUGCAACUGUGUCAGGGUGGUACCUGAACCUUAUCUGAGAGACAGAGACAGAGAGAGAAACUGAGACAGAGAGAGAGAGAGGGAAUCAGAAAAGCCAACACCGUGAGAAAUAUACACUUCAACGCACGCCAUUUAUGCAGCCCCUAUGUAUGUUGCUCAAAUGCUCGGAAAAUGCACGCGAAUCCAAACAUUGGGAAAGGCAGCAAUUCAGACCCGUUCACCAGCUGUUCCCAAAGGAAGGGAACCGGUGAGGAUCGGAGGAGGCGAAACGAUGCUAAAUCUUAACCCUCUCGUUGGGAAACGACAUCUUUAAUCGCGCCCUCGCCUCCAGACCUCAGUUCCCGCUCCAGCACAUUAGCCAGGGCGCACUCACCGCAUCCCCAGGGUUGGGAAAAUAACAACUGUUGGCCCCCCGGAGCGCCGCGCAGCAUCCGCACCUCCCUUCUCCCACCUCCUGGUUUAUUUUUAACCGCCUUCCAUUCAUGCCCUUCUGUCACAUUCCCGAUAUUAUUUAUCCCUCAGAGGUCCACUGUUUCUUAACAGCCAAAAGAAGAGGGCGGAGGAAGGGUUUUUUUUGAAAAGGUAUCAUACUUACCGUUCCCCGGCGGGGCGAAAAAUAAAAAUAAAGAAAAUCCACCGGCUGGCUUGUUUUUCCCCCUCAAGCUGCAACAGCUGGAGGAGGGGAAGAAUGAUCUUGGAGUGUUAAAAGGAAUCACUCGGGUUUGGCAGGUGGAGGCUCCAAAUAUCCACGGAACAAGUUCUGUUGCCUGGCCCGGCGGGGGGCACAGAGUCCUCGCGGCUGGAGCCUGGGGGUGGGGGUCGGGGCUGCCCCAGAGAAGACCCCAAGACUCCUGGUUCCUCUGGAGUUCAGUACAGGAGGGAUUGCCUGGGAAAGGAAGUCAAGGUUCCCCCGAAAAGAAGCAAAAUCCUAGACAGCAGUGAUCACUUGUUAAGCCCGAAUUGCUCCUCCAACAUCCAUCCCUCUCUCGCUCUCGCUGGCUGCGGGAGCAGCACACGCCUCCCCUGGCCGCGAACGCGCGCCGGGCGGGGGCGGGGCCAGGGCCGAGCCGAGGGUGUGGCGUUCGCGACGGUCGCCAGGGGCGCCUCCAGGAGCGGCGGGGAGGGCGCAGUCACGACGCCGCGACUCCCCGCACUCUGGCCGGGCCCCCAGACUCCCAGGAUCCGGGAUCGAUUCCAGGAGUCUUUGGCUGCGGUCCCCAGAGGAGAGGAGAAAAUCCUGGAGAAGUGUCCCUUUUGGGGCCGGAAUGGGGGUUUCGACGGCAGCGCGGGAGUCCCCAGAGGGCCUGGGAGCGGGGAGCUCCCCGGGAGGUGCCGGGUAAUCUGA